CACCUCUGGGGAGCCCCUUGGUAGGGGUACAAAGAUCGUUCUCUAUCUUAAGGAGGACCAGCUUGAGUAUCUUGAGGAGCGCUGCCUCAAGGAUUUGGUCAAGAAGCACUCUGAGUUCAUCAGCUACCCAAUCUCCCUCUGGAUUGAGAAGACUACUGAGAAGGAGAUUUCUGAUGACGAGGAUGAAGAAGAAAAAAAGGAUGAGGAAGGAAAGGUAGAGGAUGUUGAUGAAGAGAAGGAGAAGGAAGAGAAGAAAAAGAAGAAGAUCAAGGAGGUGUCCCACGAGUGGUCUUUGGUGAACAAGCAGAAACCCAUCUGGAUGAGGAAGC
rnacentral:lncRNA from 1 species